rnacentral:rRNA from 1 species
UACGGAGGGAGCGAGCGUUGUUCGGAAUUACUGGGCGUAAAGGGCGCGUAGGCGGCCAGGUAAGUCGCGUGUGAAAGGCCGGGGCUCAACCCCGAGCACUGCACGUGAUACUGCCUGGCUCGAGAGAGGUAGGGGCAAGCGGAAUUCCCGGUGUAGCGGUGGAAUGCGUAGAUAUCGGGAAGAACACCUGUGGCGAAGGCGGCUUGCUGGACCUUUUCUGACGCUGAAGCGCGAAAGCGUGGGGAGCAAACAGG